rnacentral:rRNA from 1 species
UACGUAGGGUGCAAGCGUUAAUCGGAAUUACUGGGCGUAAAGCGUGCGCAGGCGGUUCUGUAAGUCUGUCGUGAAAUCCCCGGGCUUAACCUGGGAAUUGCGAUGGAGACUGCAAGGCUAGAAUCUGGCAGAGGGGGGUAGAAUUCCACGUGUAGCAGUGAAAUGCGUAGAGAUGUGGAGGAACACCGAUGGCGCAAGGCAGCCCCCUGGGUCAAGAUUGACGCUCAUGCACGAAAGGCGUGGGGAGCAAACGAGG